GACGAACGCUGGCGGCGUGCUUAACACAUGCAAGUCGAACGGAGAGGCCCUGCUUUUGUGGGGUGCUCGAGUGGCGAACGGGUGAGUAACACGUGAGUAACCUGCCCUUGACUUUGGGAUAACUUCAGGAAACUGGGGCUAAUACCGGAUAGGAGCUCCUGCUGCAUGGUGGGGGUUGGAAAGUUUCGGCGGUUGGGGAUGGACUCGCGGCUUAUCAGCUUGUUGGUGGGGUAGUGGCUUACCAAGGCUUUGACGGGUAGCCGGCCUGAGAGGGUGACCGGCCACAUUGGGACUGAGAUACGGCCCAGACGCCUACGGGAGGCAGCAGUGGGGAAUAUUGCACAAUGGGCGGAAGCCUGAUGCAGCAACGCCGCGUGCGGGAUGACGGCCUUCGGGUUGUAAACCGCUUUCGCCUGUGACGAAGCGUGAGUGACGGUAAUGGGUAAAGAAGCACCGGCUAACUACGU
rnacentral:rRNA from 1 species